rnacentral:lncRNA from 1 species
GUUCAAUAUAGAGCAAAAUGUAUCCAAAUGCCAGAAAUAUCUGUGAAGUGGCCUGAUUUUGUAACUGCUUUUCCUAAGCUCGGGACUAGUGAGUGCCCUGCAUGGGAUAGGUUGAUUUUCCCUAAUCAUACCAAGAGACGAUGAGGACUGCUCUUGGAUGAACAAGAAAUGGAAAAUCAGCACAAAGGAGACAGAGUUUGCAAAAAACAGGACAUAACCCUUCAAUAUUAUGCCCUUAAUCUUUGUCCUGAACUGCUGAUCUUCAGAGGGACCCAGGAGAAGAUGAGUCCACCGUUUCUACUGGGGAAAAAAAACAAAACAACAACAACAAAAAAACACAUCAAACUGUGGGACACUGGAUGGGUGGAUGGGCUAGGCCUGAAAAGAGAUUGCCAAAUACAAGUCCCUUCCAGAUGAAAAGUGGAUCCUUUAGGAAAAGGAGGUAAGAGAUGUAUGGUUUACAUGUGGGUUUCUGGUUAUGACUGCUUUUAACUGAUGAGUUCCCAUGUUGGAAUUGGUGUAACUCUGGAGAGAAUAUUUCCAAAUGGUUCUCAAGGAAUGUCAUGUAGCAUUUAUUAGAGUCACUCCAACAGGGACGCUUCCCACUUGCUUUGAUUUAGUGACAUUACUGCUGGUUAAAAGCCUUAGGUAAGCCCACACACAGUGGCUGGCGAUUUGGAUAAUUAGCAGGAAUGGCAGAGGCCUGUCUCUUUACAAGGAAGUUAGCAGUGACAUGCAAUUAAAGCAAACCGUGGGGGGAUGCUGGGGAGUUCUAAGGAUUGUAGUGGGUCGGGAGAAAUCAAACCAUAUAUACAGAUUUCCCUUUCCUACAAAGGAUUUCUGCUUGCUUCUUUUAAAAAGUUCUUCCAGAGGUAACUAUGUUCUUUCACACAAACAGAAACAAAAAGAACAACGUAACUCACUCCAUUGUUAUUUUCCUCCUAAUUUUGUGGACCGCUAUGGCCAGUUGGUGAAGCUGUUUAUCCACUGGAAUCUUGAUGAGCUGCUCCCUCAGUCUGUGGGGAGACGUGGACAAGAGACCAUGACUGUGAAGAUGCCAAAAACAGGCAGGGUGGGAAAAGACUUGACAAAGAGCACAGAGAAGGGGAUAGGGAGGCAGAGAAGAGAGGAGAGAAGGAAGAGGAGAGAAGCAUGGACACCACGGGCCACGAACAAUCCUCUUUAAACAUUUACGCUUCAUCGUCCUUUCUCCUUGUGGGCAGAACUUUCUGUGGGAUCCAGAUUGCUUUGGUCUACUGGACAGAAUUCCAUAUUCUAGAUCUUUCCAUUCUCUUAUGACUCCAGGUUUGAUGAUUCAAUGGAUGGGAACUAAGAUUGUCUGCUGCUAUCUUGCUGUCUUAAAUGUGGAUUUUGUCUCAACACUGCCAAUCUUAAAGCAUGAAUGCCCCUGGCACAGGCUCUAGGAGAUGGUUGGAGGAAUGAGUCUUUCAUAGAACUGUGAAAGAAGUGCAGCCAAAUCAGGGCAAAGCGUGGGAGAAGAGAGGGAAGCAUGUGUGAGGCCAGGAAUAUUUGGUGCAGAGGUGGCACUUAGGUCUCUUUUUACUUCAGGCAACGAUGUUUUCCCCUCUGCUAUGCUUUUGUGAGAAAUUCAAGUUUCAAAUAAAAUAGCAAAUAACCCUAAUGAAGCA